GGGCCUGCAUCCUGCUCCUUGCACCCUGCUCCCUGCGUCCUGCGUCCUGCUCCCUGCACCUUGCACCCUGCUCCCUGCAUCCUGCGCCCCGCGUCCUGCUCCCUGCAUCCUGCGUGCUGCUCCCUGCACCUUGCACCCUGCUCCCUGCAUCUUGCAUCCUGUGUCCUGCAACUUGCACCCUGCGUCCUGCACCCUGCACUGGCCUCCACCGUGUUCCCUGCUCCUGCCCCCUGUGCUGCUCCCAGUGCUCCCAGUGCUCCCGCGCCGGCCCCAUUGCUCCCCGGCAGCCUCUAGACCCUAUUUCCCCCCCCGGCCCCAGCUCGUCCCAGCCCCAUGUGCCCUCGGCAUGGUCCUGUGGGCUCUGCACCCCACGGCAUGGCAUGGCAUGGCACGGCACAGCACCCCAUGGCACGGCACCCCAUGGCACAGCACCCCAUGGCACGGCACCCCAUGGCACGGCCCAGCACAGCAGCACGGAGCAGGAGAAGCCAGGCCGGCCCCGCUCCCAGCAGCGGCUUUCCCAGCGCCGGGGUUCUCCCGGGAGCCGUUCCCGUGUUCCCGUUUUAGCACCCGCCCGGCGGCGGGGCCGGGAGAGCAGGCGUUGGCCCGGGAGCGCGGCGCAGGAAGGAAGGAAGUGGAGGAGGAGGCAGGGCGCGCAGCUCGGCUCGGCGCAGCGCAGCACGGCUCGGCGCAGCUCGGCACCGCGCGGCGGCCGGAGCAACGGGAAAGCCCUUCCCUGGCUCCCUGGCUCCCUGCCGCCGUGCCGCUGCCGGCCCUGGCUCGCGGGGGUGCUGGGGCCACGCGCGCUGCACAGGUGUCCGGGUGUCCGGGUGUCUGGGUGCAGGGGUGUCCGGGUGCACAGCUGCACGAGUGUCCGGGUGCACGGGUGUCUGGGUGCACAGGUGUCUGGGUGCUCGGGUGUCCGGGUGCACAGGUGUCCGGGUGCACAGGUGUCUGGGUGCACGGGUGUCCGGGUGCACAGCUGCACGAGUGUCCAGGUGCACGAGUGUCUGCGUGCACGAGUGUCCGGGUGUCCGGGUGCACGGGUGUCUGUGUGCACAAGUGUCCGGGUGCAUGGGUGCACGGCUGCACGAGUGUCCAGGUGCACGGGUGCUCGGGUGUCUGGGUGCACCGGUGUCCAGGUGCACGGGUGCACUUGUGCACGGCUGUCCAUGUGCACAGCCAUACUUGUGCAUGGUUUCACAGGUGUACUUGUGCACAGCCGUACUUGUGCAUGGUUGCACAGGUGUACUUGUGCACAGCCGUACUUGUGCAUGGGUGUACCUGUGCACAGGUGUCCGUGUGCAUGGUUGCACGGGUGUACUUGUGCACAGCCAUACUUGUGCAUGGUUGCACGGGUGUACUUGUGCACAGCCAUACUUGUGCAUGGGUGUACCUGUGCACAGGUGUCCGUGUGCAUGGUUUCACAGGUGUACUUGUGCACAGCCGUACCUGUGCAUGGUUGCACGGGUGUACCUGUGCACAGGCGUCUGUGUGCAUGGGUGCACGGGUGUGCAGCCACACGGGUGUACCCGUGCACGGGUACGCGGGUGCACGGCUGCACGGGUGCCCCGGCACCCUUGUGCGCGGGUACGUGGGUGCACGAGCGCCUGGGCAGGCACGGCGAUGUCCGGCUGCUCCCAGCCCUCGUUCCAGCGGGUGGCACGGUGCCAGCCCGCGGCGGGACUCCCUGGCGCUCCAGCCUGGCUCCGGUGGCACCCGGCCGGGGCGUCCCCGCGGGCCUGGCUCCGGUGGCACCGGCUCCUGCGCUCUCCAGCCGCUCACCCCAGUCCCACGCAGGACCUGGGCCUGGGGCCCCGGCAUGGGGCACGGGGAAUGGGGCACAGGGAAUGGGGCACGGGGAAUGGGGCACAGGGAAUGGGACAAGGGGCAUGGCAUGGGCACAGGGAAUGGGGCACAGGGAAUGGGACAUGGGACAUGGCAUGGGCACAGGGAAUGGGGCAGGGGGAAUGGGACAUGGCACGGGCACAGGGCAUGGGGCACAGGGAAUGGGGUGUGGGCACAGGGCAUGGGAAGGGGGAAUGGGGCAGGGGGAAUGGGGCAUGGGGGAAUGGGGCAUGGGACAUGGCAUGGGCACAGGACAUGGGGCACAGGGAAUGGGACAUGGAACAUGGCACGGGCAUGGGGAAUGGGGCACAGUUAUGGGGCACAGGACAUGGCACAGGAAUGGGAUAUGGGACACGGCACAGGCAUGGGCAUGGAGCAGGGUGUGGGCACGGGAAUGGGGAAUGGGGCAUGGGCACAGGGAACGGGGCACGGUUAUGGGGCACGGGACAUGGCACAGGCAUGGGGCAUGGGCAUGGGGCAUGGAGCAGGGCAUGGGAAUGGGAACGGGGCACGGUUAUGGGGCACGGGACACGGCACAGGCAUGGGGCACAGGCAGGGGCAUGGGAAAGGGGGUGCACUUAUGGGGCAGGGCAUGAGCACGGGGCACGGAGCUGGGCAUGGGAGAGGGGACAUGGGGAAUGGGGCACAGGCAAUGGGGCAGGGCACGGGGAAUAGGGCACGGCUCUGGGGCACGGGCACGGAGCAGGGCACGGGCAGGGGGCCGGGCGGGGGGCAGCGGCGGGGCAGGC
rnacentral:lncRNA from 1 species